GCCUCAGUAGCGGCGAGUGAGCGGCAAGAGCUCAGAUUUGAAAUCGUGCUUUGCGGCACGAGUUGUAGAUUGCAGGUUGGAGUCUGUGUGGAAGGCGGUGUCCAAGUCCCUUGGAACAGGGCGCCCAGGAGGGUGAGAGCCCCGUGGGAUGCCGGCGGAAGCAGUGAGGCCCUUCUGACGAGUCGAGUUGUUUGGGAAUA
rnacentral:rRNA from 1 species